UUUCUCCCUCUUAGAGAGACAGAAAGGCUAGAGCGAGCUGGAGUUGGGUAUUUCUCCUCCCCCAGGUUGGUUAGACUCUGGUAAAACA